GGAGGUGGGGUCAAUCUGACUGAGACAUUUGUUACCCCACUGAUUACCAGGAUCCAUCUGCAGGUGUCCCCUUCCUUCCUCACCAUCCUGCGUGCUCUACCAAGAGGUUGGCCUUUCUUGACAGAAGAGGACUAGGCUUAGUCACGGGCAGUUGAGAAGCUGCACUUCCCUUGUUGGAACUUCCAAACUAGCCUCCAAAGUCCAUUUGUAGGAGGACAGAGUCAAGUCAGGCUUGCAAGACUCCAGACACACUAGAUGAGGAGCUGCAUGUAAC
rnacentral:snRNA from 1 species